rnacentral:rRNA from 1 species
GUGUCGUCAGCUCGUGUCGUGAGAUGUUCGGUUAAGUCCGCUAACGGGCGCAACCCUUCGCUGUGCGUUAUAUGUGUCACACGGGACUGCCGGUCUUAAGCCGGAGGAAGGUGGGAUGAUGUCAAGUCAGCAUUGGCCUUUAUAUCCUGGGCUACACACACGCUACAAUGGCCAACACAAUAGGUUGCUAAGCCGCGAGGUGGCGCCAAUCCAUAAAGUUGGUCUCAGUUCAGAUUGUAGGCUGCAACCCGCCUGCAUGAAGAUGGAGUUGCUAGUAACCGCAGGUCAGCUAUACUGCGGUGAAUACGUUCCCGGGGCUU